AUUUUUCCAAAAUGUACAGACAACAAUAAUACAUUCUCUAACGUGAUCUAUAAAAAUAAAGGAUCGUCGGAAAAUUUAAAGGCGUUACAAAAUGUUUACAUACUCGUUACAGUUCAUUAUAUAAUUGCAAAUCAGACAAAGUUACUCUACAUAGAGAGGAAUCAGGACAUCUCGUUUUUUUAUUGAAUAUAAAGGAAUGACCCAACGCGAAACGAAAUGUCUCAUGGAUCACCCUGCAGUAAGACUCACGGAUCAACGACCUAGGAGGCUGAUAUAGGUUGAGGGCGCGUAGCAUAAGGAAGCAGGAUGGGUGUGACGCAGAGGGUGCAGGUUGAGGGUGGUACAUUGCGUCAUUGGAUGAUUGGUACCACAGGAACAAGUAGCAUGCCUCUCUUUUUUUUCCUCUCUUUCCUCCGCGAAUCGAUACGAUCCACGAAUCUGCAAAAAAAUUUCAUUUGGCGUGGCAGACGAAAAUAGAACUGAAACGGCCAACCACAAUCGCGGACAGGCGUUUUAAAGGCACUUUUUAAAAAAGUUACAUAACCCGAAACCCACGGUUUAUGUAAUAUUUAGGUUAGGACAAGUUGGAGGAUUAUCUUAUCUGAGAAUACGAUAAAAUACAUUACACGGCCCUAGAUAUAGACUGUCGAUGGCAACACGUUGCUAAGGGCUACAAGCUUCUUCUUCCGCUACUGCAUGGUGCUUCAUGCCUCGUCGUGGGUGGCUACCGUGAUGUCCUAAUCCCGCUAAGUCCCUAGGGAAGCGACACGUAAGAAUAUUUUCUCGACGAGCAAGAAGGGGUAGCUAAAACCGGUAACGAUCCACACGUUCACUGCUGAAUGAAGAUAUCUUAUUUUCUCCAUACAGUAAACAGACAUGCGGACAGUUCCAAAGACAUUCCCAUGAAUGCAAAGAAAUUUGGGUUCAAUCAAACUCCAACAAAGAGAAGAAGUCGUCCUGGCAGCGCUACAUAUUAAGAACUGGCUGGCACUAAGCGGGAAAAAAAGAGAAAUGGAAAGAGAAUGUACGCCACGCGAAAUCGUGGUCUAAAUCUUUCCAUAUUGCGCAGGCUGAAUCCUCGUUCGAACAAUUCUCCUCGAGGAAUUCGCGGAAAGUGGAAGGGCUCGCGCGGACAAAGCAGCGGCGAGGAACAUGCGCACAGACAGGCACGCGGAAACAAAAGAUCCGAGCGGGUAUUCGUACUCGCCGGCCGAAAAAGAAUUUCUCCGCGCGCGGAUUAUUCCGGGAAACGAAUUGUCACGGAUCGAAACGAGCCGAAGGGACCGAGCCGUGCGGGCCACGAUCGAAACUGGAACCGGAUGCUCUAGUUCGCCGCACGAUUUAGUCUCAAUUGUCCCCGUGCGAACACUUUCUACCGUGACAUUCGUUUCGCGAAUCGCAGAGAAGCUCCGAUUAAUUAGAAAACUGGGCAGAGUUGGAACAAGGAAAGAAAGGGGUGGAGAAAGUUAUAUGGCCCUGCAACGUCAAGCUCCUAGAUUUUUCUUGGUUGAAAUUGAACGUUGCAUAAAGUUGAUUUGAAAUCUCAAAACUCGAAAUGAUACGAAGUUUUCUUGUUUUCAAAUAUACCGUGUUCCGUCUAGCUUUAGUUUCUAUACGCGUUCCCCCUCGACGCGUACACUCG